CAGUCGCCGCGGUAAAACGGAGGGUGCAAGCGUUAAUCGGAAUUACUGGGCGUAAAGCGCUCGUAGGCGGUUAGUCACGUCUGCUGUGAAAACUCAGGGCUUAACCCUGAGCCUGCAGUGGGUACGGGCAGACUAGAGUGCGGUAGGGGAGAUCGGAAUUCCUGGUGUUGCGGUGGAAUGCGCAGAUAUCAGGAGGAACACCGGUGGCGAAGGCGGAUCUCUGGGCCGACACUGACGCUGAGGCACGAAAGCGUGGGGAGCAAACAGGGUUAGAUACCCCAGUAGUCCCUGUCUCUUAUAC
rnacentral:rRNA from 1 species